UACAGAGGGGGCAAGCGUUGUUCGGAAUUACUGGGCGUAAAGGGCGCGUAGGCGGCCUGCUAAGUCGAACGUGAAAUCCCCGGGCUCAACCCGGGAACUGCGUCCGAUACUGGCAGGCUUGAAUCCGGGAGAGGGAUGUGGAAUUCCAGGUGUAGCGGUGAAAUGCGUAGAUAUCUGGAGGAACACCGGUGGCGAAGGCGGGUCUCUGGGCAAUUCCUGACGCUGAGGCGCGAAAGCGUGGGGAGCAAACGGG
rnacentral:rRNA from 1 species